rnacentral:misc_RNA from 1 species
UUAAAUAUUAAGUGUUUUGCUCAGACAACAAAGUACAAGAGUUUAUACACUCUGGCGGACUUGGGCCGAGGCCCGCACCCGCCAAAGCAACAGAGGUAUGGUAAUCAGGGUGGGAGAUGUACCCCGGAGGGCAGUUUCUCUCUAAUGAUCCUUCCGCAGGUUCACCUACGGAAA